CCCAGACUCCUACGGGAGGCAGCAGUGAGGAAUAUUGGUCAAUGGCCGAGAGGCUGAAUCAGCCAAGUCGCGUGAGGGAUGACGGCCCUACGGGUCGUAAACCUCUUUUGCCGGGGAGCAAGGGCGGGGACGUGUCCCGGCCCGGAGAGUACCCGGAGAAAAAGCAUCGGCUAACUCCGUGCCAGCAGCCGCGGUAAUACGGAGGAUGCGAGCGUUAUCCGGAUUUAUUGGGUUUAAAGGGUGCGUAGGCGGAAUAUCAAGUCAGCGGUAAAAAUUCGGGGCUCAACCCCGUCGUGCCGUUGAAACUGAUGUUCUUGAGUGGGCGAGAAGUAUGCGGAAUGCGUGGUGUAGCGGUGAAAUGCAUAGAUAUCACGCAGAACUCCGAUUGCGAAGGCAGCAUACCGGCGCCCAACUGACGCUGAAGCACGAAAGCGUGGGUAUCGAACAGGAUUAGAUACCCCAGUAC
rnacentral:rRNA from 1 species